UCUGCUAUUUGAAAUUGCUAUUUAGUUUG
rnacentral:piRNA from 1 species